rnacentral:rRNA from 1 species
AUGGCCCUGUGGGCGGUGGGACUGCCAAUAUACCCACCGUACGCAGGGUUGCGCGCGUACUGGCAGAAGCAUCCCUGCUGCGCCCGCAGGCUCGAGCAGCACGACGCCGACGGCGCCGCCCCGCUGAUGAUCGCCGCCGCGCACACCAUCAGCUGCCCAUCGUUGCAAUGCGCCGUCGACGCCCUGCCCGACCCCGACUUGGCUCUGCCCGACGUCGACAUCACCGCCGCCACCACCGCGGCGACGACCAGCGCGGCCGCCACCACGCACGUCGCCACACGUGCCUUCCCCAUGGCCUUCUGCAUCAUCUGUGCAACCGUGCGUGCGUACAGAGCCAACAAUUAUAUUAACUGGCCCGUCCAACUCAAGUGCGCAGCAUGA